rnacentral:rRNA from 1 species
CCUACGGGUGGCUGCAGUGAGGAAUAUUGGUCAAUGGCCGAAAGUCUGAACCAGCCAAGCAGCGUGAAGGAUGACUGCCCUAUGGGUUGUAAACUUCUUUUAUAUGGGAAUAAAAUGUUCCACGUGUGGGUUAUUGUAUGUACCAUAUGAAUAAGCAUCGGCUAACUCCGUGCCAGCAGCCGCGGUAAUACGGAGGAUCCGAUCGUUAUCCGGAUUUAUUGGGGUUAAAGGGAGCGUAGGGGGGUUGUUAAGUCAGGUGUGAAAGUCUGGGGCUCAACCGUAAAAUUGCAGUUGAAACUGGCAGUCUUGAGAAGAGGAGAGGUAGGCGGAAUGCGUAGUGUAGCGGUGAAAUGCUUAGAUAUCACGAAGAACUCCGAUUGCGAAGGCAGCUCACUGGACUGCAACUGACACUGAGGCUCGAAAGUGUGGGGAUCAAACAGGAUUAGAUACCCGAGUAGUC